UUCUCUUGCCAUACCACCCUGAACGCGCCUGAUCUCGUCUGAUCUCGGAAGCUAAGCAGGGUCGGGCCUGGUUAGUACUUGGAUGGAAGACAAG
rnacentral:rRNA from 1 species